GACGAACGCUGGCGGCGUGCUUAACACAUGCAAGUCGAACGGUAAGGCCCUUCGGGGUACACGAGUGGCGAACGGGUGAGUAACAUGUGGGUGAUCUGCCCUGCACUUCGGGAUAAGCCUGGGAAACUGGGUCUAAUACCGGAUAGGACUCCGGACUGCAUGGUCUGGGGUGGAAAGCUUUUGCGGUGUGGGAUGGGCCCGCGGCCUAGCAGCUUGUUGGUGGGGUGAUGGCCUACCAAGGCGACGACGGGUAGCCGGCCUGAGAGGGUGACCGGCCACACUGGGACUGAGAUACGGCCCAGACUCCUACGGGAGGCAGCAGUGGGGAAUAUUGCACAAUGGGCGCAAGCCUGAUGCAGCGACGCCGCGUGAGGGAUGACGGCCUUCGGGUUGUAAACCUCUUUCAGCAUCGACGAAGCGAAAGUGACGGUAGGUGCAGAAGAAGGACCGGCCAACUACGUGCCAGCAGCCGCAGUAAAAC
rnacentral:rRNA from 1 species